UGGGGAAUUUUGGACAAUGGGCGCAAGCCUGAUCCAGCCAUGCCGCGUGCGGGAAGAAGGCCUUCGGGUUGUAAACCGCUUUUGUCAGGGAAGAAAUCUUCUGAGUUAAUACCUCGGGAGGAUGACGGUACCUGAAGAAUAAGCACCGGCUAACUACGUGCCAGCAGCCGCGGUAAUACGUAGGGUGCAAGCGUUAAUCGGAAUUACUGGGCGUAAAGCGUGCGCAGGCGGUUUUGUAAGACAGAGGUGAAAUCCCCGGGCUCAACCUGGGAACUGCCUUUGUGACUGCAAGGCUUGAGUGCGGCAGAGGGGGGAUGGAAUUCCGCAUGUAGCAGUGAAAUUGCGUAGAUAUGCGGAGGAACACCGAUGGCGAAGGCAAUCCCCUGGGCCUGCACUGACGCUCAUGCACGAAAGCGUGGGGAGCAAACAGGAUUAGAUACCCUGGUAGUCCACGCCCUAAACGUGUCAACUGGUUGUUGGGAAGGUUCCUUCUCAGUAACGUAGCUAACGCNUGAAGUUGACCGCCUGGGGAGUACGGCCGCAAGGUUGAAA
rnacentral:rRNA from 1 species